rnacentral:tRNA from 2 species
GUUUUAAUAGUUUAAUAAAAACAUUGGUCUUGUAAAUCAAAAUUAAGAUAAUCUUUUAAAACU